GCGCGCGCGCGCAAUGAAGGGGGGCCAGCCGGUGCCGGACAGACGCAUGCGCCGUCUGAAACGAUCGCGCCGGGGAGGCUCGGGUGCGCCUGCGCGCUGCUGCGCCUUGGUGCCUGCCUGACGGGUCGGCGACCUGGGCGGGUGAGAUCGGCUACCACCCUCGAUAAACCGUGCAGCCACACUCUGGAGAGCGGACUUUGACCGGUCAGCACCGGCUCUGGUCCAUAGCACGAGCGGCUGGAGGAAAAGGCCUGUGGCCUGUCUUUUUGGCGACCGGUUACCGAGCCCUUCUGGGAAGUUGUCGGAAAUGUCCAUGGUCCUGUUUGCUUCUGUUGUGCGUGUCAGAGAUGGCCUCCCACUUUCUGCUUCCACAGACUUUGAGCACAACAAAGGAGUGCAGGAAGUGAAGAAACAUCUUAAAGUGCUGUCAAAAAAGCUAAGCCAUCUGCCUGACCGAUGCACACUAAAAGGUGUACAGUACAGUAUACAUUUUAUAAGCUCAUUGGGACUGGGGUAUAUGAUGAUCUGCUCUGAGAAUUACCCAAAUGUCCUUGCUUUCUGUUUCUUGGAUGAAUUGCAACGAGAAUUCAUAACAUUAUAUGACACGAUGAGGAUAAACAUUGCUGUCAGGCCGUACUCCUUCAUAGAAUUUGAUAAUUUUAUCCAGAAGACCAAGCAGAGGUACAAUAACCCUCGGUCUCUAUCAACAAAAAUAAACCUGGCUGACAUGCAGACAGAGAUCAAGUUGAGGCCGUCCCAUCAGCUAACUAUGCUAGAUGUUGGAACAGUGAAUGGAAACGUGCAUGCACAUUCUGCCCCUUACAAGGGGAUAGUGGUUUUCAUCAGGACAUUAUUCAAAAGGACCACAACACACUGCAGCAAUCCAGAAUUGCGCAAAGCAGAACAGGAGCACUUGUACGAAGUUUGUAAAAGGAAUGGAUACCCAGAAAGUACAAUUUAGCCAUUACCUGCAUGACAGAUCUUAACAAGAAGACAACUCUGUUAGACACACUAGUCACCAUACAUCAGAGACCUAUCCGAGAUGACCACGACUACUCAGACCCCUAGGUAUCAGCAUAGCCCACAAACCAACUACAACAGCUCCUGACAAACAUAAAGGAUCCCAUACCCACAACCAAUGAAACUAACAUAAAAAUACCAUGCAAGAUCUGUGAAAAACAUUACAUGGGCCAAACUGGAAGAAAACUGAAAAUAAGGAUACCCGAACACCAACUAGACACCAAGAGACACAACCAAUUCUCACUGGUCUCAAUACACGUGGACAAAGAAGGACAUGAAUUCGACUGGGUCAACACAUCUAUAAUGGCAUGAGCCAAACAGAGAUAUGCCAGGGAAUUCCUGGAGGUCUUGCAUUCCAACUGGAACUCCAACAAACACAUUGACCUGGACCUGAUACACCAGCCACUGAAAAAUAAAACUGGAAGUAAUGCCAAACACCCCAGCAAACUGAGGCAUAUAAAUAACAAGUGGGACAGAACACCAGUGCUUCAACAAAGGCGCACUGACGACGUUACCUAGCAGGGUGAUGAAACGUCUGCAGCCAAACACACCGGCUCAGUGAGCAAAUCUACAACCUCGUCCACAACCCGAGUUACAAAUCUUCUCAAAAACUUUAAAGAAUGGGGUUGAUAAAAUUAUCAGCCAUGAUUGAAUGGUGGAGCAGACUUGAUGAGCCGAAUGGCCUAAUUUCUGCUUCUGUGUCUCGUGAGUUUGUAGUUUGAUGCUAAAUUUUUGCUUGUUCAUUAAUGAAAAAUGUUUUAGAAUUAUUUACUAAGUUAAAGAUGCUAUAUUAAUGGAUGGCAGUGUUGCUCCCUUGGCUAGGAAAUUGGUCUUUUUCAUCCCUUUUAAAACUGCAGUCAUCAAUAUUGCGCUGCAAAAGCUCAUUUGGUCCUUCCAUACUCCUCUUCGGUGGGCUCUGCCUUGAUUUCUCUACCUUUAUAAGGUUUUCAUAGAUUUCAUCGAAUCUGUACAGUGUGAAAACAGGCCAUUUGGCCCAACAAGUCAACACCGCCCCUCCAAACAGCAUACCACCGAGACCUACCCUUUCCCUAUAACACGGCAUUUCCCAUGUUUAAUCACCUACCUUACACAUCCCUGGCCACUACGGUCAAUUUAGCAUGGCCAGUCUACCUAACCUGCACAUUUUUUGGACUAUGGGAGGAAACUGGAGCACCUGGAGGAAACCCAUGCAGACACGGGGAGAAUGUGCAAACUCCACACAGGCAGUCGCCCGAGGGUGGAAUCAAACCCGGGUCCCUGGCGCUGUGAGGCAGCAGUGCUAACCACUGAGCCACUGUGCUGCCCCGAGGAUUUGAAUGUCUUGAGAGGCUGCAGAAGAGAUUUACUGGAAUAAUUUCAGGGAUUGGGAGUGUUUGUUACAAAGUUAGAUUUGAGAAGCUGGUGUUUCCUCCUUGGAGAAAUAGGAGAUUUGACAUUGAGGUGACAAGGUUAUGACAGGUUUGGACAAUCUAGACAAGCAAGAAUAAAAGUUGUUACUUUAGGACAUACAGAUUCAAGGUUUUGAACAAUAGAUUCAGGAGGGCAUGUGAGAGGUAAUGAUCUAGAACUCAUUGCUCACAAGUGUGGUUGGAAGUGGAGACAGUCAAUGAUUUCUGAUGUCAGUAAGGUGGACAUUUGAAGGAAAUAAGCAUGAAGGGCCACAGAGAUAGAGUAGAGGAGUGAAACUGGAUUGCUUCACAAAGAGCAAUCUGUAAGCCAGUCACUACUCAUUAGGCAUAAUGACUCCUCCAGACUUGGUUGAGCUGAUAGGGUCCAGGUGAACAUGCUGAGUUGCUGCUUGUACUACCCUACCCUUCUGCUCAUUUUCACAAUGGUAGUCCUUUAGGUUGUACUCCAUUGCACCUAACUAUUCUGUCCUUUCCCAUUCAGGUCCUUCCAAUCUGGCUUCCCUAUUGUCCACCAUCGUGGAUCACCACACCUUAAGAAAAGGGUGAUUCUAUGUCACUGCAAGCCUAGUACAUUAUCCCUGUUGCACAAAUUCAAAAGUGUGCGUAGAACAACGAAAAGACCAAUGGACCCACCUAAUCCAUAGCAACACUUUGUAUUUAGAGGAGGUGAGGGAGGGAUAUUAAAUGUGAGAACCUUUCAGCCAGGCAAAGUCAGAUGAAAGUGCGUAGAAAGUGUGUGGACCUUCAUCUGGAAAGAAGCAGCAAAACCUCAGAACUUCUUAGGGAUGGAAGUAAGGAUGGAUUGGAUGUCAGUGGUGAAAAAAUGAUGAUUCAGGCUAGGAAACAAAAAGGUACCUUUAAAAGGAAUAUGCCAGCUUGUACUCAUCAUAUUUCAUUUUGUUCCAGCGCAGAUUGAUACAUUGUGAAAAUAAAUACUUUCUGGCCUCUAAUGACUCUCGAUUUUGUGUCCCAUAAGACCAUAAGGAAUAGGAACAGGAGAAGGCUGUUCGGCCCCUCGAGCCUGUUUUGCCACUCAGGAUCAUGGCUGAUCAGACAUUCCUCAUGUCCGAUCCUUGCAAUUUUUCCAUAACCCUUGAUUUUACAAUCAAUGAAGAACCUAUCUAUCUCAGCCUUAAAUAUACACAAGGACUCUGUCCCUACAGUUCUCUAUAGCAAGGAGUUCCAAAGACACUCAACCCUCUGAGAGAAGUUCUCCCUUACCUCUGUUUUAAAUUGGCACCCCUUAUUUCUGCCCCACUAGACUGUCCCAUGAGGGCAAAGAACCUCUCAUUACCCUGCCAGGAAAUUGCCCUUAGGAAUCCUAUGUGUGUCAAUGAGCUCAACUCUCAUUUUUCUAAACUCGAGUAAAUAGAGUCCUAAUUCAUUUAACCUUUGCUCAGAAGACAGUCCCUUGUCAUAUGACAAACCCUUCAACCUAUCAUAUGCAUCCAUUUCAAAUGGCUUAAUUCCAGAGUGACAGCCCUUCACAUUAAGACCGCAUUUGACCGAGUUUGGCAUCAAGGAGCCCGAGCAAAAGUGGAAUCAAUGGGUAUCAGGGGGCAAACAGUCUACUGGUUGGAGUCAUACCUGGCACAUAGGAAGAUGGUCCUAGUUAUUGGAGGUUAGUCAUCCCAGCUCCAGGACAUCUCUGCUGGCAUUCCUCAGGGUAGUGUCCUACAACCAUCUGCAGCUGCUUCAUCAAUGAACUUCCCUCCAUCAUAAGGUCAAAAAUGGGGAUGUUUGUCAACGAUUGAACAAUGGUUUCAGCACCAUUCGCGACUCCUCAGGUACUGAAGCAGCCCAUGUUCAAAUGCAACAAGAUCAGAACAAUAUACAGGCUUAGUGGCAAAUAACAUUCGCGCUACACAAAUGCCACUUGAUUGACACUACAUCCACAAGCAUCCACUCCACUUCCGAUGCUAAGUAGUAGCAAUGUGUAUUAUCCAAAAGAUGCACUGCAGAAAUUCACCAGAGAUCCUCAGACAGCACCUUACAAACUUGUCCUUCUAGAUGGAAGUGGUCAUAAGGGCAACAGAUAGAUGGGAACACCACCACCUUCAAGUUGCCCUCCAAGCCACUCCCCAACCUGACUUGGAAAUAUAUUGCUGUUCCUUUGUUGUCGCUGGAUUAAAGUCCUGGAAUUCCCUCCCUAACUGCCUUGUGAAUCAACCUAGAGCAUGUGGACUGCAGCAGUUCAAGAAAGUAGCUCACCACCACCUUCUGAAGGGCAACAAGGAUGGGCAAUAAAUGCUGGCCAGCCAGCGACUCCCACAUCCCACCAAUCAAUAAAAAAAAUCUAACUAGACGAAUAAUCCAUUCAUCAUUUUGUAAAUUUCAGUCAUAUGCCCUCUAAGCAAAUGUUUUACUUUUCAAAGCAAGGCUAAUUUUUGAAGCCUAUCUUACAGGCCUGUAUUCAUGACAAAGAGCUCCAAAGAUUUGUUGUUCUGGUUGUCUUGCUUUGCACCCCUCACAGUGCUGUCACUGAUGACUGGAUAUAAUAAGCAUCAUAUUCUAGAUGUACUAACGUUUUACCGAUAUUAUAUUAAAUAAUUGAAACAAUACAAGCUAAAACCCAUUUGCAUCACUUGCAAAAACUGUUGCAGUAAUAAGUUUUAUUAUAUCAUGUUUUGCAACUAUAUUAUUACAGUGAAAUGAAAUGGGAAAUGUGACCUCUUCUGAAGGCUGCCUGACAACAAAACUGGGUAGUUGGUUGAGAGAGAUUGAAGGAGGCCCAUAUAGUUUUACUGAGAAGAUGCAUGGUGUUUACACUUGGAGGCAAUGACAGCAGUCUGAGUGCAAAGGUGAAUAGACUGAUAGUCUCCAAAGUCCCAGAAAAUGGAUGAGAAUGCUAAAUUCUCCAAAUCAGAGGCUGGAACCAGUAACCCUACCGGGAAUCAUAUCUUGUUUACUAUGUUUACUGUGUGCAGCUUUAAAUCUAAUCCGUGGGUUUCAUGCAAUGGAAAAUGU